rnacentral:rRNA from 1 species
AGGAGAAGUCGUAACAAGGUUUCCGUAGGUGAACCUGCGGAGGGAUC